rnacentral:lncRNA from 1 species
AAUUUAUUCUUUUUCCUUACCUUUUAUUUUUCAAGCUUCUCUCAACUAUCUUCAUCUGACCUGUAAAGAGAAUAAGAUAUAGAAAAACAACAUUCUUUCUCGGGCUCCCAUCCACCACUGAACUCCCUUCAUUUCAAGACAAAAAAACAGUGACCGCAAGCAGGGACAAAAAGCAAGGGCACCAGGUUUCUCUUCCUUAUUAGAGAUGUUACCCUAGUAAGAUAGAAAAGAAUUUGGCAGUGGAAAAAAAGUAAGAGAUUUCUUUUGGUUGAUUUUUUUUUCUAAUGUAUUAUUGUUUAACUCCUUAUAAAUGAGAAGUUGUAUGUAAGAUAUUAAGCACAGUUCUUGGCAAAUAGCAGAUGGUCCAUACAUUAUCUCCUUUUAUUCUCUUUUCCACCCCAGGCUCUAAAACAAAUUAGGAGAGUUGGAAGCAGAUUCAUAGUAUGAACCUGUAUUUUCAUGACUUUGUUACCCAUUAGACAAAUUGAGUUUCACUUUCAUUGUUAUGCCAGUCAACAGGAACUAAUACAAGUUACUAUAGCCCCUGUUCUUUACAAAAUUUUUAUAGCUUUCACUUUCAUAUCUCAAAAGAAAAUAGAAAAAUAUUUAAAAUCCAGAAGGUUUCCAUUUUACUUUUGGUCACCUUGAAAAAUCUUAAGUGGGACCCUGCAAAAGUUAAUAGUCAUGUGGUAAGUCAUCCUUUCUAAAAAUAUUCCAGUUCUUCUCUUUGAGGACACUAGCAGAUGUCUAAAAAUCAUUGUAGGCAAUUACAUUUCAUUUAUGGACCAGCAUAUAAUAAAUAUUAAUCUUAAAUAAUUUAACAGAUGGAAAAUUAUAAAAUUGAAAUUUCUUGCAAAAUCACAUAACAGAAUUUUUAAAUUCAUUUUUAAUGAAUGUUAAAAAUGCUUUAAGAAAAUAGUAAACAAUGACCCACAUUCCCAAACGAAUAAAUACAGUAUACUUUUUAUCUCUAUGAGGGAUUACCUGAGCUUUCUAUAUGCCAACAGCUAAUCAGGUACAGUGAAGUGCAAUUUGGCUACCAAGAAAUAAUCUGCACAAAAUUUUUAAAACUUCGGCUAUUAUUUAAAGUGAAGCGUGAUUUAAUAGGCAUGUCCUUUGGAAACUCAAGUCUAAUGUCAGAUUAAAAUCAUUGUCAUUGGGGGGAAAUAUUUUAUACUGCUCCUUCUACUUACCUGCGCUAUAUAAUCUGCCCUUUGAAUGUAGAAAUGCUGACCCCCAAAGAAAUUUACCCACCCCAAUACCCUUUUACAAAGGUGUCUGUGCCGUGACAUUUCAGUUUCUUUCAUUCGAAACACAAAAUCAGAGUGGGGAUUAUGCUUUUCUGCAAUUCUAUAGCUCAAGUUUAAAGAAAAGUGAGCAGAUGUAUGGAAGUGUGCUAGCUAAUUUGGAGUUCCAACCUAAAGGGCCUGGGAUAUACCAUUUCAGUUUAACACCUAACUUUCCCCUUAUUCUUUCUUUUACUUUCAUUUAUUGAGUUUUCCAGAUGAGACAGCUAUUUGACACAGGUUAAAUUAUUUUUAGAGAACUUGGAAAUCAUUCCAAGAGUUAGUGGCAAGAAUGGCAUUUCCUUUGUUAGAAAUAGCAAAGAGGGUUUGGCUUCUCCUGGGCCUCUUUCACCUUGGUUUCUCCAGGACCUGGUAAUACAGAUGUAGCAAGAAUUUAAAAAAGCAUUUUGAUGAAGUGAACAAAUAAUAGCAACUGUCUACACUCUAGGAGUUAUGUGUGCAAUUCAGUUGAAAUAACUUUUCAUGGUUCUAUAAGAAAAAAAAAUCAAAGUAGCUGAGCUUUUAAAAUAGAUUUCAAAGCGAUUCCAAAAUUUUGACUCUUUUUUUGCUAAUCAUGCAGAAACUAUGUUCUACUUUUUCUGCUUAUAUUUUAGUUUUUCUAAAUAAAAAAAACACAAAAACCAAUCAUUAAGGUCUGGGAAAUACAUUUAAAAGCAGCAGCUAUCUCUUUUCUAUACUCUUUCAAAUACUGACAUGCUCUUUCAUCUCUAAAUCUUUUCUCAGGAUUAAGUGGAACACCAUUUAACCAUCCCUCAUUCUAAUGUUUAUGUGCAAAUGGCUCAUUUUGAAGAAAUUAAUUCACAUGAUGAACAUUAACAUUUUAGUAAUAUUCCUCCACUGGAUAUCUUGAAAAUACAUAGAAAAUUUCAUAAUACCUCUACUUCAAAAUAAUCUAAAAGUAUCUAUGAAAUAUAGUUUUAUUGCUGAGACUCCAUGAGAAAAGUUCAACAGUAGUCCAUCAAACAAAAAGAUUCAAGUGAAGAAUUGGAUAUUAAGUGCUUAAGUGUUGACAAUACUGGUCUUUUGAAAUGUAGAGUUUUGGUUGGUGAAUAAAAUUCCAUAUGUAAGAUCUGGAUGAAUUUGGUAGCUAGUUUUUAACAUGUAUUUGAUGAAUAAUGGAACCUGUAACUGAUUAGAUAUAUAAAUAGUCCAUUGGUAAUAUUUCAAAUCAUUUUAUUGAUUGAAAAAUGGCCUUUGUUAGUGUCACUUUUUAACCAUUACUUAAGAAUCAAUUUUCUAUAUUUUACCUCUCUCCUGAAUUUAUUAAUUCAUUUACAAAUAUUUAUUUUCUACAACACUAGAUACUAUUGGAGGCAUGGAAAAAAAAAUAGUGGUGAGCAAGAUGGAUGUAUCCCCUGCCCUCAUAAACCUACAGUCUAGUAUAUGAUAUUAGCCAAGGAGAACAAUGUUUUUAAAACACUUUUAGCUUUGCAGUGAAUUAUAUAGUUCAUCAAUCCUUUUAUAGGUCAUCAAUCCUUUUAUAGUUCUUUAAUCCUUUCCUAAGUCUAUUUCUCACAAAUUUGUUAAUUCUCCUAUAUUAAUACAUACUUUGAUAAAUCAAAUGUAUCUACCUAACCUUAAAAAAUCCACAUACCAGGUGUUAUUCUUAAUGCCACUACAGGAAAUGAAAUAUUUUUUUAAAAAACUCAUGAAAUAGCAUUUUACAUUUAUAAAAAAACUCUAUUAUUUUUGGAAUGUAAAAGGGAAGUCCACUUCAAAUCUGUUAUUGUAGCUCUAAUGGCAUGGAGAUUUAGGUAGGGAAGUAGAGAAAAAAAAGAUUUCUCUUAUUCUGAAAACUGUCAUGUUCCUUCAGCAUCCACUACUGUUAUCAGUGUUUCCUGGUGGAAGAGGAGUUUUUAGACAUUUUUUUAAGAAUCUGAUUUCAUAACAAGGCAAGUAAUUCCCUCAAGCAU